CAAUACACAAAAGAUAAAACACUCAAAUAGAGACAGAAAAACAGUGUUUCGCAGUUUCCAAAGUGCAGGUUGCACAUUUUAGUUCUUCGCAAAAGAGUUGAAAAAGUAAAUAAAAUCUACGUAUGGCCAUCAAAAAAUCAAAGAAGUUGGUAAAAAAUACGAACUUAUGAUUCCACAAAAAUCACUGUCCGGAGGUAAUUAAGUGCCGAUGUCAAAAUUGUGUUGAGGUCUUCGUUGGGUGUUUUUGCGGUGCGAUUCAUUAAUCCGCGCUUAUUUUCUAAUUGCACUUACAUUGAAGGCUUUGAGUCGUUCAGGGUCGUGCGUUUGUGUGUCGAUCUUGUCAUCGCUUUCAUCAUCGUCAUCGUCUUCGUCUUCUUUGUUACCGCUGGAGCUGGUUUCGUCAUGGGCUGACCCCGUAUCAGCAUUGACUGGACUCUGAAAUGGUCAAGCAUCACAUUAUCACGAACCAAAAGCAGCAACAGUUAAUUAUCCGUUGAGGAAUUUUAUGGCAAAGACACCGGACUGAACUUGACACGAAGUUUAUCAUUCAAUGCGAACAGCUGCAUAUGAGGAAGUAAUCUAAAUUCCAGCAUUGGCGACCAUAACAAAGUGCAACUGGAGGCUUGUUGCAAUGUAAAUGUCUUUUUCGAGGACAUGCCGAUCAGUAAGGGAAAUACGUGUAACGAGAGGCUUCUCUGGUACUUACAGAUUGAUCUCGAGUGGUGGGCGGCGUGGCCUUGCCUUUCGCUAGCCCCAGAGCCGAGUGGUACUGGGCCCACAGGCCGGCCAUUUCCUCGCCUCCCGGAACCGAGGACAGGUCCGGGAUGUCCCCAUUUCUGUUCCCUGCAAGGAGUAUCAUAAGUACUGCUAAAGCGAGUGUGGGGCGAGAUGUAAUGACUGAUGGUUGAGGUAAAGAAAAAAAAUGUUAUUGGAGUGUUGUGUUUGUCGUGUUACCUUGGGCCUGAUUGUGGUAGUUCCACGCCAAGAGCAUCAGCUUGAGCUUGUCGCUGUCUUUCAUAGCCCCGGUUCCUGCACAGCCAAUCAGAUCACGGUUAGCAGGGUUGGCUUACACUUAACUAGACUAACUAAAACUACGCUAGCCCGGACUUGGCCCAAUUGGGUGAACUGGGCCAAGUCCCGGAUGUAGUACCAACCCUGCUACUCAACAGUAAAAGCGGGAAUUUUGCCCUAGAGACACAAGGUAGGCAUGUCGAUUUUGUAUGAGUGUUAGGUCUACACUUCAAACAAAAAUGAUGGUUAAGGCCAAUGAGCGGGUGACUGGCGCAAAACUCACCCGCAAAGUGGUCCUCCUCGUUCGCUUCGGACGACUCCGGCGUGGACAGACUCUCCUGAAAUCAGAGAAUUCGCCUGAAACCUGCGAUCGAACCUUCUAUGCUUGGCAGAGCACGCAGAGGAAGAAAAAAGCACACGUAAUUAUUAUAAGCACUAGUUAGGACUCUGCAAUUAUAAUUUUAAAUUGCGCGAAUAAAUAUCGAGGCAUUACUCUUUAUUAGCGUGCUUGCGAGACGCGAAACGGAUACUUUUUUAAUUAACCAACUUAGCAGCAUGCACUCGAUAAUCGAAUCUUCCACGAUGACCUAAUUCCGCAAGACUUUACUUUCCAUCUCGACCGAGCUUUGUCGACGUGAUUUACUACUCCUCAACGAGGACCUAUUUCGACUCAUUAAGCGUCGCGGACGAGAACAAAGCUCGAUUUGUUCCGACAUCAAGGCGCUUCCAGCUUUACAAAGAAAUUUUCAUUGCAGUUGGAGAGCCCAGGGUGCGUUUUUGACCCGCAUCUUCCAUCUUGUGGGCGCCUAUGUUAAGUUUUUAAUGCAACAAAAAGCAUUCAGAAAAAUUGUUAUUACUUUUGCCACUGUUCGAUUUGCGUUGCACGUUAUACAAAUUAUUGUCUUUACAAGAGACGGAUUUUGUUGCGAGGCGUCCUAAACCCGCUCUAACAUAAUGUGAUAAAAAUUGAAAUUUUUUAAAUUUUACUGCAAAUCUAGAUUCGUUCAAGAAUUUUUGAAUCUAAUGUAAUUGCUGAAUCACUAUUUACAAAAUUCAAGUAGAGCAUUAAGCCAUUCAACCUCAAUAAAUAGUACUGUAGAGGAAGUGCUUGGAAUACUGCAGCAAUAAACAUAACGUCAAUAAUAUUCGAAAUCAGUAGACUUAAAACAGGCUGCCGUCUUUACAUUUCUUUGAUAUCUACACGGGAACAACACUACGUAUAAUAUACAAAAUAUUCAUUGUAAUUGUUUAAACAAUUAAGUGAUCUUAUUGGUUUA